rnacentral:lncRNA from 1 species
AGGGAGGGAGGAAUAGAGAGGGGGGAGGCUGGAAGUGAGACCACCAACUCCUCUGCCUCCACCCUCCCUCUCAACGCAUCUCCUCCCUCUACUCCCCUCUUCCUACUUCUCUCCUAUUCCCUUAACCCUCUCCCUCCUGGGUAGCUGGGUCCACAUUACAUAGCUGGGUAGCUAAGUCCACAUUACAUAGCUGGGUAGCUGGGUCCCCAUUUCAUAGCUGGGUAGUUGGGUCCCCAUUACAUAGCUGGGUAGCUAGGUCCCCAUUACAUAGCUGGGUCCCCACAACAUAGCUGGGUAGCUAGGUCCCCACUACAUAGCUGGGAAGCUAGGUCCCCACAACAUAGCUGGGUCCCCAUUAUAUAGAUGGGAAGCUAGGUCCCCACAACAUAG